UCAUCAGCAUCACUUCUCAAGGUUGGUCUGUCAUGCUUAAAGCGGAUAUAGUGACUAGUUUGUUAUGUGCUUUGCAGAACGGAUGGUUCACCAUAAUAGGAGCAUCACAAGACAUUGUAGUCAUUGGUGAAGAAUGAUAUGCAGUGAAACACAAGGA